rnacentral:lncRNA from 1 species
UUCUAAUACGAGCAAUUAUAAGAACAAUAAAUAAAAUUCCAAACUUGAAAUCUAGAAAAUUACAACGACUUUACUAUAACCCACAUAAAAACAUUUAAAAGUAAUAAUCAAAUCUGUAACAUAAACAGUGUGUGUGGCUUCCUCCGAGCCCCUCGCAGCUCCGAUCCGUAUAAGGCUGGAAAUUACCUAAAAGGUUAAUAAACGGGGUGAGUUUACGAAAACUCAGUGUGAAAUCCCCUACUAUAAAAAGGAACAGUCAGUUAUAUAAAAGAAUUAAAAGUCUGGCCCCAUCCAUACUUACAGUUUCAGUACCAAUUGGGCCUUUAGCCCAUUACAGAAUAAGAAACAUUAUCAGAACUAGAAUCAAAAUGAGAAUCAGAAUCAGAAUCAGGUGACAGAAUCAGAAUCAGUAUCAGGUAACAGAAUCAGAAUUAGAAUGUGAAUGCAAUCCCAACCCAAUCCAGCUGUAUACACCCCCGUACCAACCUUACACCAUGCGGGGAGACUAGUCGACCCACCCAACCGCUACACACCACAGAAAUUGCAGCGAGGCUGCCAGAUAUUGUGACGAAGUCACCAGAUACAAGUAUUGUGGCUAGGCCACAAGAACAGAUAUAUAUAUAUGUGGUGAAGCCACCAGAUUGCAACAAGGCUGCCAGAUAUUGUGACGAAGCCACCAGAACAGAUAUAUGUGGCGAGGCCACCAGAUUGCAGCGAGGCUGCCAGAACGCUUCCUCCAUCAAUAUAAACCGAUGUCCCAUGCAAUAGAAAUAAUAUGUCAUGGCAUACAACAUACAGAAUCAGAAUAUCAUGCCCAUAUUUGAAUCUAACAGUCACAGUCAAGUCAUUCAUAUCACCAACAUAUAUUCACAAUCAAAUCCGUCAACCACACAGUCCAAGUCAGUCACUUGCCCACAAGGGCAAAACAGUCAUUUAACACCCUAGGGAUAAAAUGGUAAUUUUACCCCACAAGGGUAUCUCGAUAAUUCUACCCUACAGGGGUAUUUCGGUAUUUAUACCCUACAGGGGUAUUUCGGUGAUUCUACCCUACAGGGGUAUUUCGAUAAUUCUACCCUACAGGGGUAUUUUAGUAAUUCUACCCUACAGGGGUAUUUUAGUAAAUCGAGGGUAAAACAGUAAUUCUGUAAAUUGAGGGUAGAAUAGUAAUUCUAUAAAUCGAGGGUAAAACAGUAAUUCUAUAAAUUUAGGGUAAAACAGUAAUUUUGUAAAUCGAGGGUAAAAUAGUAAUUCUAUAAAUUGAGGGUACUUUGGUAAUUUUACAAGUCGAGGGUAUUUUAGUAAUUUGGUAAACUAAAGUAUUCUAAACAUGAAUAACAAUAUGAAUGGGCCUAAAGCCUAUUCUCGGCCCAAAUAGGCCCACACGCUCGUGUGGCCCUUUUAGCCCAAAUCUAGCCACAGAUAUGAGAUUCACCUAGCUUAGUCUAAUAUUUACUACACAAUCAAACAACUUAUCCAAUUGGGCCCGUAGGCCCAUUGGGCCCACAUAGCCUCUUUCAGCCCAUCGCAGCCUGAAGUAGCCAUCCUACAGCUAAAGUAGUGAGAAAUACACACCUGUUAGGAGACUGCAGUUAAUCCGCGCUCCAAACAAUCUUAGCCGAUGCCCA